UGGAAAAUACAGGGAAGAUCAGCAUGGUUCCUGCACAAGGAUGAUAUACAAAUUUAUGAAACAUUUCAUUUUUUC
ensembl:snRNA U6 U6 spliceosomal RNA